AACAGGGCCUCUCUACCUCUCCAGUCUGCAGAUCUGGCUCCAGGGCUGACAACAUGAAGACUUCCUGGAAGUGGGGCCAGCCAAUCCUCUGAGGGCCUCCAACAGACUGUGUGUUUGGGCCCUUAGCUGCUGGGCUGGGGCAAUGUAUGCCUGCCUGUGAGCGGAAGGCCUGUCUUAUCUUGAGCUUCUUGCCAUUGACUACACCUUCAGUGAGAGCUGCCGUGAGCUCCAGGAGAACUGAUUUCUGCUUUAGGCAAUCUACCUGGACACAGGGGAUGAGCAGAGGUAUGUGGUCAGUGAGAUGGAGGUCUUGAAGGAAAAUAAACCCCUUCCUAAGAUAUGUGGUGCUCACCUUGUUCAUGACAAGGAUGCUGGGGACUUGGGAGAACUGGGUCAAGCACUGAAGCACUUGGGGGCUGAGCUGGUUCCGAGUCCACUUGUCAGAGACAUCCACAAGAACCACAACUAGAAGUUAGCAGAUGAGAUCCAGGAGGAUGAUGACUGUGAAUAUACAGAAGAUUAGGAGGCAGUAAAGAGAAUAUGAAACCUUUCUGACUAGAUGCCAGAGGGGAAAGGCACAGAGAGAACUGCUCCAGGCCUAACGGAAAAGUAGACCCUUUUUCCUCAGAGAGGUACGCACCACUUGGGCUUCUUCCUCUGUGAUGACCCCCAGAGCUUGGCAGCGAGUGGUGUGCACCUUCUGGGAGACAGGAAACACCUGCCAGGAACAAAGAAGUUCCAAGUGAGGUCCCAGCUCCCUUUAAAAUAAUACAUGGAGAGAUGAAAAGGGUAUGUGUGUGGCAGAGAGCAAGGAUGCAGCAUACUUUUC